rnacentral:lncRNA from 1 species
UGCUGGCACUAUCUGACUAAAGCUAAUAUAUUCACUGAAAGAAGGUGAAUCUCCAUCCUGAACAGGCUAACAGCCUGUUUGCAAAUUGCCCUGUUACACCUUGGUGUCGCACGAGUCUGAUGCAAACAUAUGAUGUUAUGUACUCUACCUGAAAUCUCAAGCCACAGCACGGAGGCUAUCUCAUGAGCGAGACCAAAAGGAAAGAUGAACAUGUCUCACGCAGAGAAUGAAUGACUAAUAUGCAGAGGAUCAUGGAUGGGCACAGUUCUGCAGGGGAACUCCAUGCAAAUGGAAAGACCCAAGAUUUACAUAAGAUUUGGAACACCUUCCUGGAUCGCUUCAAAGAAAUGAGUGCUUGGGAAGUUAAACACACAGCUCCUGAAAACAAGAACCGAGGCAUACAGAAUGAGUAAAGAGCCAAGGCAACUUGGCACAGCCACGCAUAGAGUCUGUAAGUCAAGUGGGCGCUUAGAUACUCACACCCU